UUCGGAUCGAAUCUGUAAAAUCAAAAAAGGCGAUCCAAUUUUGCAAAAGCUCAAAAUUUGUGGAUUUUAUAUGCAAAUUGACCAUUUGAAAAAUGUUUAAAAAUAAAGUUAACAUGUAAAGAAAAAAGAAACACUAAAAUGGGCCAACUCGGUUCGGGCCGGGCCACUUGUGGAUUUUUUUGGCUCAGAAAUCAGAGACGUGCCAUUUCGGCACAGAGCAUAUGAAUCAACGAUUAAUUCGAUAAUGGAGCACAUGAAUCGACGAUUAAUUUCGUUAGACAUUAUUUAUAUUAUUAGAAGUAUAUAGAAAUUAGUUGAAGUAUAAAGAAGUAUAAAGAAGCAUGCAGAGAGAAUGCAUGUUUCUAUUCUACUGUGUCUGGUCUCUAUAGAUACAUCAAUCAUAAGAGAGCCUUUGGAUCGAUGAAGUUACGAUUGCAAAUCAAGUUUAUUAAGAGUAGAAGAAACACGCAUUAGUCUAGCCAUUCAUCCAUCACAAAACCAUCAAGAAAAUUCUGCAAGUAGUCACGAACUUAUAUUUUCAAAAACAAGUUCUUGUCGAAAUAGUCUUUAAGUCAUCUUUUACAGAAAAACGCAAGAUCUAGUCCGCGGCAAGGCGGGGAAACCUCCUUCUCUAUUUGAAGGCUAGAUUUUGGGGCUUUUCGCGAGAGAUGAUUUCGGAAUUCGGAUUUGAGCCAAUGAUUAUACUAUAUCAAGAUUUCUCGGGACGGCUGGAAUGGCGACUUCAUCGGCCCAAACGCCCCCUGAGUGAGACCUGCCGGCUAUAAUUUGAUCCACCGACGGGGCAGCCUACCCCGACGGGUUUACGAUUGGGAUCUGAGGUACAGUCGGAGCUGCCCGUCGACGGCACGGCCCAUCUCUUGGACUGCUCGCCCUUUUCUUCUGCUGCUCCUCGACGCAUCCCUUGCGGGAGAGUGUUUAUCGUCGCAGCAGCGGCGGAGAGUAGUAGGAGGGUGAGGAGGAAGAGCGCGCCUGCAAAUGAAGAACUCACCAUCUCAAUCAUAUGGUUGGCCCGAUUUGGAAUGAUGACAAAACCUGUAUCGAGCACAUUAUCCGACCUAUUUCGCAAAUCAUCUUCAUUCACCAACGGUCCCUACUUUUUCUCUCUCAUUUUUUUAUUUACUAUUAUUAUUAUUAUUAUUGUUGUUGUUGUAGGAGUCUUAUGUGGCUGUUUUGAACGGUGAGUGACGGUAACGAGGCCUAUAGCCUAUGUACAGGAAAAAGGUGACGCAGGAGAACGAUUUCUCGUGGUUGACCGGGUGGUUUGGAGGGCCCGUUUCCCUCGUAAUAAAGUCAAAAUUUUAAAAAAUGACUAGUCAACUUAAAAUGAUCCACAAUUUAUUUAAGUUUUAUAUAUAUUUUUUUCAUUUAUUUUGAGAUGGUACAUACAUAGGCACACUCCUAACUCCAAAAGCCUCCCUUAAUUAACGUAUCUUAAAAAUCCUUUAUUAAAUAAAUUGUCUCGUACCCUUAAAACACAUUUCUGAUUUAAAUUUUUUGAUUGGGUGAUUGGACGAAGCACUUGCAAUCGAAAAGAGAUCGGGCAAUGUAAGCAUCUUUAAUAUUGUUUUAGCUAUUGGCUGUAUCUAAAAUUAAAUAAUAUUCCCAGUUCAGUGACAAUGAUGUAGAAGGAUGUGGAAAUGUAAUAUUACGUGUACUCUCAAUAAAACCAAGAUAAGGUAAUGAUCUCUUACCUAAUCUUAAUCUAAAGUAAAUAAUGCUUGCCAUUGACUUAAUCUAAAGUAAAUAAUACUUUUAGGUUUAGUGACAAUGAUGCAAUAUUAUGUGUGUGUAUAUAGAGAGAGAGAGAUAGAGAGAGAGUAAAACUUGUGUCCUAUUAAAAAUAUGAAAGCUUCCAUGCUUCUAAGCUGUUUUUGAUAAUAGGAUUUUCGAAUCGAAAUAUUUAAAAAUAAUUUUUGCUGAUUUUCAAUGCCAUUUAUGUAGUGAUCGAAAUGAUUCAAAAUCAAUAAUUUUUAAUAGUUGAUGUAUGUCUUUUGAUAGAAAAUAGAAAAAAUUUUGAUUUUUUAUACUAUCUGCAAUAAAAUCAAUAUCUCUUAUUGAAAAGUUUAGUGCUAUAACUUUUUGUGAGAUUUUUAUUUACAAUUGUUCAUUUUGAAUCUUUUUGAUCACUGGAUAAAUAAUAUUUAAAAAUCAUAAAAUUUAUUUUCUAGAUACUUCAAAUACUCUAUAUCAAGUUUAACGGAGCCAAUCGUCGAUUCGAAAAUUCCAUCAUCGAAAAUAGCUUAGUCGCACGGAGGUUUUUGUGCUUCUAAUAAUACACAAGUCCUACUCUUUCUCGCUCUCUCUCUCUCUCUAUAUAUAUUAUGAUAUCUCCAAUCACAGUACAACUAUAAUUUUUUUUUUCUCAAAUUUUAUCAUUUCUUUUAGGUUAAAUUAUUGUUGGGCCAAUUCGACGCGGACAGCUGGCAAGCCGGGACUACAUCCAUGAUCCAUGUCAAAACGGUGGUCCGGGAGUAUAUAAGACGCGCCAGAAGAUAUGAGCCGCGUUUGUUCAAAAAGUUGUAACAACCGCAAGCGGUUAUGAGCAGUUCCAAUCAGUCGAAGGUGGUCCUCCAAAUCAGGAGAUAGUGGCCGAUCGUGCAGUGACGAUAACUAAACGCAAGGGCAACUUUAUACAUAGGCAUACGGCACCCUGAAAAAGGGCCUUUUUUCUGUGCGAAUAAAAGACCACCCUUAUUUUCCUACAUCUUUCUUUCCUGCAUUUAUUGCUUUUUCCUAGGAGUAGUUCUCAUAACUUAGCAUCCUGGAGUCUGUCUGCCCCUCAGGCAUCACUCCGUUGUAGACUAAAAACUCUUCUCUCUGUACGCUCUGCUGUUAUAUUCAAUAGAGGGCUAUUAUCGGCUUUCGGGCCGGCCAGUUUCCUGUA